AACGAACGCUGGCGGCAUGCCUAACACAUGCAAGUCGAACGGGACCUUCGGGUCUAGUGGCGCACGCGUGCGUAGAGCGUGGGAACCUGCCCUUAGAUUUGGGAUAACUCCCCGAAAGGGGUGCUAAUACAGGGUAAUGUAUUCGGACCAAAGAUUUGUCGCCUUUGGAUGGGCCCGCGAUGUUUUAGCUUGUUGGUAGGGUAAAAGCCUACCACGGCUAGGCUAGAUAGCUGGUCUGAGAGGAUGAUCCGCGACACUGGGACGGGGACACGGCGCAGACUCUUACGGGAGGCAGGAAUGGGUAAUAUAGCCCUACGGGCGAAAUCCUGAACCAGCUAGGCCGGGUGAGUCAUUAAGGCCGGAGGGUAGUACAGCACGUUUACCCGGCAUGAUAAUGACGGUACCGAGAGAAUAAGCACCGGCUAACUCCGUG
rnacentral:rRNA from 1 species